GAUAAAAAAUUCCACCCACCCGCUUCCCAUGACCCCUUCCCCUAACCUCUCCCGAUCCCAUCUGGCUUCUCCUCCUCACUAGCCCGCGCCGCCGCCGCCUUCCUCCUUGGCCUGCGCCGCCGCCGGCCCUACCACCAACCAACACCGCCGCCCCAUCCCGACCUUCCCCAUGCGCCGCCGCCGCCCCACCCCACCUUCCUCGCGCGUCGCCGCCGCCCCACCCCACCCCACCCCACCUUCCCCGCGCAUCGCCGCCACCCCACCCCACCUUCCUGGAUCGCGCCGCCUACCUUUCGGGAUCGCGUCGCCACCACCGCUUGCUUCUCCGGAUCCACUCGCCGACAAUAUUGACGGUGCCCAACCACGAGCCAUGUUCCUCCCUGGAUCCAUUCUCGCUGGACGCCACAAGCGAAGCCAUCACCGUGCCGCCGCCUGGUCUCCUCAGCCAUGGGAUGCAGGCCUCCCGCAAGGUGCCGCGCGCCUCCAACCCACGGCGGCGUCUCCCGCCCUUCGCCUCCUCCCCACUGCCCCGGCAAGACUCCAUAACCACCGCACAUCCUCAUCCCAGGUUGGGCUCCACCACCGCGGUGCCUAGGCCGUUCAAUGAUGCAACCCCGACCGCAUCAUCUUGAAGGAAGGCCAACAAAAGACAGGGGACCCGGUGCACUGGCAAGCUAGCACACCUGUGCAGCUGACGGUUUGGUUGGCGGCAGCCAAAUUUCUUGGCAUGUGGCGACUGGUUUGGCGGCAGGCAAGCAGCAACAAGCACAUCAGCUGCAGGCAAAAGCUGCUAGCAGAAAAGAACAACAUCAACCCAUGUCGCUGUCCAGUGAGCUAGCACCUCCCGUUUGGUUUUGGCUGAACUGCAGUUUUGACGUGUACUUAAACUGAACCUUCAAGCUUUAGCCAAAUUUCCAUCGAUCUAUUCUUGUUGACAACUACAGGAGUAGAUAGAUUGAUGCCAGUGGGUGUCGCUAGACAUCUCUCUUUUCUGCUAGUGGGUAUGACCCAGCUGCUUCCGCUUCCUCUCUUCCUGCCGCUCAAUGUUGAUGCCUGUCACUGCUAGCUGCUGUUGUCAGACAUUUCUAGUUGUUGUGCCAUGUGGCUGCCCGACGCCACUGCCGUUUUCUAGCUGCUAUUGGUACGCUGUUGCUGCAAUUCAACAUGACAAAAGAGAUAUGUCUGUUAGAGAUUAGCACUGAUGUUGUCCGUGCUUAAAGAAAUGAGAAUAUAUAUAUAUAUAGAGAGAGAGAGAGUGUGUGUGUGUGGAUAGGAUAUAGCGGUGGGUGGUGGAUAGAAACCAUCAAUUGUAUUGAAAAGGUAUUUCUUUCUCUGGCACUUAGUGUGUGUGUGUGUGUCUUCCUCUGAAUUGUCAUUAAUGUGUUCUCUGUACAAAGCAUAAACUACUUGCUUGCUUCAUGUCAUAUUCAAUUGGCAAUAUGAAAAUAAAGGAUCAGUUUUUCA